rnacentral:lncRNA from 1 species
UCCAAAGGCACCAUCUCUUGCACCACCUGUUCAGAGGAAAAAGGGUUGUGCUGUUGAACAACAGAAGGUUCGGAAGAGGGGUUGUGCUGUUGAACAACAGAAGACUAUGAAGAGGGGUUGUGCUGUUGAACAACAGAAGACCAAGGUUUGAACCACUAAUGAUAUCAUUCUCGGAUAAUUUUUUAUUCUAGUUCUUCUAGUAAAUUAUCAAGCAUCUUGAUUUUUGUAUAAUUGAGUAAAUACACCUUGAUUUU